rnacentral:rRNA from 1 species
CCUACGGGAGGCAGCAGUGAGGAAUAUUGGUCAAUGGGCGUAAGUCUGAACCAGCCAAGUCGCGUGAGGGAUGAAGGUUCUAUGGAUCGUAAACCUCUUUUAUAAGGGAAUAAAGUGCGGGACGUGUCCCGUUUUGUAUGUACCUUAUGAAUGAGGAUCGGCUAACUCCGGGCCAGAAGCGGCGGUAAUAAGGAGGAUCCGAUCGUUAUCCGGAUUUAUUGGGUUUAAAGGGUGCGUGGGCGGACUUUUAAGGCAGCGGUGAAAGUCUGUGGCUCAACCAUAGCAUUGCAGUUGAAACUGGGAGGCUUGAGUGUGUUUGAGGCAGGCGGAAUGCGUGGUGGAGCGGUGAAAUGCUUAGAUAUAACGCAGAACCCCGAUGGCGAAGGCAGCCUGCCAGGCCCUGACUGACGCUGAUGCACGAAAGCGUGGGGAUCAAACAGGAGUAGAUACCCCUGUAGUC